rnacentral:tRNA from 1 species
AUCCCUGUAGCGCAAUGGAUAGCGCGUUGGACUUCUAAUCCAAAGGUCGUGGGUUCGAAUCCCUCCUGCGAUA